CUUGGUCAUUUAGAGGAAGUAAAAGUCGUAACAAGGUUUCCGUAGGUGAACCUGCGGAAGGAUCAUUAGUGAAUUAAACAUGCUUGGUGUCUUCGCUUCGGCAAGGCCCUUGCUUAACUCACAUCCCAACACCUGUGAACUGUAAGGCGCAUGACUAGGUUCGCCCAAGUCAUCGUCUGCCCUUUUUAACAAACAAUUAAUGUAACAAACGUAGUCUUAACCUAAUAAAACUUUCAACAACGGAUCUCUUGGCUCUCGCAUCGAUGAAGAACGCAGCGAAAUGCGAUAAGUAAUGUGAAUUGCAGAAUUCAGUGAAUCAUCGAAUCUUUGAACGCACCUUGCGCUCUUUGGUAUUCCGAAGAGCAUGCCUGUUUGAGUGUCAUGAAAAUAUCAACCUUGACUUGGGUUUUGUGCUCUAGUCUCGGCUUGGAAUUGGGUGCUUGCCGCUUUUACGAGCGGCUCACCUUAAAUGUAUUAGCUGGAUCUGUCUUUGAGACUUGGUUUGACUUGGCGUAAUAAGUACGCUAAGGACAUUCUUCGGAGUGGCCUCGUUUCUAGGACGCUUGUCCGCUUUCCAAUACAAGUUCCACCUCGUGGACAUGACUUUUUAUUAUCUGGCCUCAAAUCAGGUAGGACUACCCGCUGAACUUAAGCAUAUCAAUAAGCGGAGGA
rnacentral:rRNA from 1 species